GGAGGAUCCAAGCGUUAUCCGGAAUCAUUGGGUUUAAAGGGUCCGUAGGCGGCUUUAUAAGUCAGUGGUGAAAUCUCCCCGCUCAACGGGGAAACGGCCAUUGAUACUGUAAGGCUUGAAUUAUUAGGAAGUAACUAGAAUAUGUAGUGUAGCGGUGAAAUGCUUAGAGAUUACAUGGAAUACCAAUUGCGAAAGCAGGUUACUACUAAUGGAUUGACGCUGAUGGACGAAAGCGUGGGUAGCGAACAGGAUUAGAUACCCUGGUAGUCCACGCCGUAAACGAUGGAUACUAGCUGUUGGGAGCAAUCUCAGUGGCUAAGCGAAAGUGAUAAGUAUCCCACCUGGGGAGUACGUUCGCAAGAAUG
rnacentral:rRNA from 1 species